rnacentral:lncRNA from 1 species
UGUUUUAUUGGAACUUCAAGUAUACGAAGGUUUAGCAGUCUUAAUAGUCGUAAUAUUUUCAAGAAUAUAGAAAAUGAACUGAUACUGAAAUUUGAGUUAUGCCUUAAGAAUUAUAUUAGGUAUGUCGAUGACAUAUUGACAGUUUGUAAGUGUGAAGCUAACAUCAAUGUUUUUCAAGCUGCUAUGACAUUAGACCACUAUGGCUUAACACUUAGAAAAGAGCAAUGUAGUAAAGAACAAGUCCAUUACCUAGAUAUAAGUAUAAAUGUUGAAGGUUGUGAAUUAAAGAUGAUGGUCUAUAGAAAACUUUUCUACCAGCCAGUCCUGAUCCCAAGGUGGUCACUGGACCCCAUAUCUUAUAAAGCGGUUGCAUUUGGUUUCUAUUUUGGGAAAGCUUAUAAUUAAUUAUAUAUCAGAUUGCAAUGAUUUGCGGAGGGAGCUUGAAUGCAUUUGCACUGCUGGAUGCAGCCGUGGAUAUAGUGGAAACUUCCUGGAAGCUGUUCGCCGUAGAGUGGGAACUGGCCUCUGCCCAUUGCGGCGGAGUGAAGGUCAAACAUGCACC